CCUACGGGUGGCAGCAGUCGGGAAUAUUGCGCAAUGGAGGAAACUCUGACGCAGUGACGCCGCGUGCAGGAAGAAGGUUUUCGGAUUGUAAACUGCUUUAGACAGGGAAGAAAAAAGACAGUACCUGUAGAAUAAGCUCCGGCUAACUACGUGCCAGCAGCCGCGGUAAUACGUAGGGAGCAAGCGUUAACCGGAUUUAUUGGGUGUAAAGGGUGCGUAGACGGAGAAACAAGUUAGUUGUGAAAUCCCUGGGCUUAACUGAGGAACAGCAACUAAAACUAGUGCCCGUGAGUACUGGAGAAGAAAGGGGAAUGCCUGGUGUAGCGGGGAAAUGCGUAGAUAUUAGGAGGAACACCAGUUGCGAAGGCGACUUUCUGGACAGUAACUGACGUGGAGGCACGAAAGUGUGGGGAGCAAACAGGAUUAGAUACCCCAGUAGUC
rnacentral:rRNA from 1 species